CUUCACGAGGGCAUAUCAUCACUCAUUAUCCUAUUUGCUUGGUGGCUCUGGAAACAUCAGAAUGGUUGCAUCUUUGAUGGUGAUCGGCCCUCUAUCUCUCUUGUCUCCAAGACCAUCCAAGAUGAGGCGUGGCUUUGGGCCAGGGCUGGCACCGCAGGGCUAGCGAAUAUCAUCCCUGAGACUUAG
rnacentral:rRNA from 1 species